GACGUAGGGUCCAAGCGUUGUCCGGAUUUACUGGGCGUAAAGAGCGCGUAGGCGGCCUGCUAAGUGUGAAGUGAAAUCUCCAGAGCUUAACUCGGAAACUGCUUCGCAUACUGACAGGCUUGAGGAAUGCAGAGGUAAGUAGAAUUCCUGGUGUAGCGGUGACAUGCAUUGAUAUCAGGAGGAAUACCCAUGGCGAAGGCAGCUUACUGGGCAUUAUCUGACGCUGAGGCGCGAAAGCGUGGGGAGCAAACAGG
rnacentral:rRNA from 1 species